rnacentral:rRNA from 1 species
UUGGAACAGGACGUCACAGAGGGUGAGAAUCCCGUGCUUGGCUGGCUGUCCCCGUCCAUGUGAGGUGUCUUCGACGAGUCGAGUUGUUUGGGAAUGCAGCUCAAAAUGGGUGGUAAAUUUCAUCUAAAGCUAAAUAUUGGUGGGAGACCGAUAGCGCACAAGUAGAGUGAUCGAAAGAUGAAAAGCACUUUGAAAAUAGAGUUAAAAAGUACGUGAAAUUGUUGAAAGGGAAGCGCUUGAGAUCAGACUUCGGUAAGGGGUGAUCAGCCGUCCUUCUGGGCGGUGCACUUGCCCCCCUCCGGGCCAGCAUCGGUUGAGGCGGCGGGAUAAAGGUCCCGGGAAUGUGGCUCCUUCACGGGAGUGUUAUAGCCCGGGUGAAUGCCGCCAGCUUCGACCGAGGACCGCACCCGCAAGGGUUAGGAUGCUUGGCAUAAUGGUCUUCAGCGAC